ensembl:lncRNA EDRF1-DT EDRF1 divergent transcript
ACGGUAUCUGACGCUCAGGCUCCGCCCCCUGCAUGUCUUUGUUGGCAAACAGUUCUGGGGGUCGUCCGAUCCUGCAGGCUGGGAAGUUCAAGCACAUGGCUCUAGCUUCUGGUGAGAGGUUUCAGGCUGCGUCAUAAUAUGGCAGAGAAGAUCAAUGGGUAAAUGGACAUGUGUGAAGAAAGGCAAAACCAGAGACCGUCCAGGCUGGACUUGAACUCCUUCCUCGGCUGAAGUGAUCCUCCUGCCUCAGCGUCCUGAAUAGGAAGUGGAGCCAGAAUCCACAGAUGUCAUUAUCCAUCUGCACACUUUGUUUACUACCCAGAAGGCAAGAAUAUUGCAUUUUAAAAGUGCCCGGACUUUUGUUCUUUCUUAUCACAAAUGACUUGGGAAGCUCCGACCACUCAUGUUUACCCCGAGUGAAAGUCCCAUUCAAAGCCUUGCUUCCUGGAGAGCUUUGAGAUUCUGGUACAAAAGGCAUUUUAUAAGCACAAAGUGGAAAAGCAUCAUUCAUAUUCAUUUGCUGCUGCGGCAUUUCUCCCUGGAAUCUUCCUCUUGUCUGUCAACAUUGGGCAAAAGGACUGGCCUCAUCUACAUUACAGAUAUCCUUGUGAUGGUCUGGAGGUAGGAAAAGGACACCCAGCACAAGAGUGAGAAGGGAAACUCAAGCUCUCCUGUUGGAGAGUCUCAGGCUUCUUUAUCCAUAAAACUGAUUGGACAUAAUUGGUGUGGGUUUAUGAUUUGUUUUGGAAAAACCUGAGUAUGAAAUCAAUACUGUGCUUUGUGCAUCUUGGC